GAAGGUAUAGCUCAAGCAGUAAAGCACAUGCCUAGCAUGCAUGAGGUCCUGGGUUCAAUCCCUAGUACUGCUU
rnacentral:tRNA from 1 species